rnacentral:rRNA from 1 species
GGAUCACUUUUGACCUUGCGCUAAAUGAUGAGCCUAACUCGGAUUAGCUAGUUGGUGGGGUAAAGGCCUACCAAGGCGACGAUCUGUAGCGGGUCUGAUAGGAUGAUCCGCCACACUGGGACUGACACACGGCCCAGACUCCUACGGGA